CUCUGGAUGUGGUCUUGACCUCACUAAUCAGAUUUAUGCCUUUCCCCUCCUCCUUGAAUGAUCUAGACCCGAACAAGCUAAGGAAGUGAAGUGAACUCAGAGGAAUUAGAUUGCAGUCUAAAGCUUGCCGAGAUGACGCAAGAAAGCCGUCUCACCUACCAAAACCAGAUUCUCUUCUCAGAUGGUCAGGGUUGUCAACAGUAAGAUGAUACAGAGAAGACUGGGCCUGAAGAGAGUUUUAUACCGAGUUAAGUGCGGUGAUGGAAUUGGGUAUUUUGGAACAGGCAUUUUGGAAUUAGCUACAAGGCAUACUUAAGUCACCUGAUGACUGGAGAUGGGGGAAGAUAGUUUCCUUGGAGAUGAUGAUAUGGGAGCUGAAUAUGGAAGGAUGAGUAGGCAUUCGCCGGGCAAGGCUUAGGAGUGAAGACGUCCAGAAGGAGGCGACAUCAAGAUUAAAGGACAAAGACACAGCCUCAUGGAUAAGCGAUCAUGCUGCCGGAGAAAAAUCUUGAAGCAGAAAGUGGGAACAGAGAACGCUGGAGAGAUGAGUGGGAGACAGAAGGCUUUGAGAGGCUUUAUCCCUAAUAGGUGAUGAUUCAUCAAAACAUGUUGCCUUCGGGUCAAAUGGAAACAAUCUCAGAGUUUCUGCAAUGUCUCAUGCCAGCCUUCUUUAAUUGCAUUUUAUCCUGUUGUUGAAAACGAUUCAAGGGACAUGU